rnacentral:rRNA from 1 species
AUUGAACGCUGGCGGCAUGCCUUACACAUGCAAGUCGAACGGCAGCGGACCUUCGGGUGCCGGCGAGUGGCGAACGGGUGAGUAAUAUAUCGGAACGUACCUUCAGGUGGGGGAUAACGUAGCGAAAGUUACGCUAAUACCGCAUAUUCUGUGAGCAGGAAAGCAGGGGAUCGCAAGACCUUGCGCUGAUUGAGCGGCCGAUAUCAGAUUAGCUAGUUGGUGAGGUAAAGGCUCACCAAGGCGACGAUCUGUAGCGGGUCUGAGAGGAUGAUCCGCCACACUGGAACUGAGACACGGUCCAGACUCCUACGGGAGGCAGCAGUGGGGAAUUUUGGACAAUGGGCGCAAGCCUGAUCCAGCCAUGCCGCGUGAGUGAAGAAGGCCUUCGGGUUGUAAAGCUCUUUCGGCCGGGAAGAAAUCGUAUGGGUUAAUACCCUGUGCGGAUGACGGUACCGGCAUAAGAAGCACCGGCUAACUACGUG